rnacentral:rRNA from 1 species
AUUGAACGCUGGCGGCAGGCCUAACGCAUGCAAGUCGAGCGGAUGAAGGGAGCUUGCUCCUGGAUUCAGCGGCGGACGGGUGAGUAAUGCCUAGGAAUCUGCCUGGUAGUGGGGGAUAACGUCCGGAAACGGGCGCUAAUACCGCAUACGUCCUGAGGAAGAAAGUGGGGGAUCUUCGGACCUCACGCUAUCAGAUGAGCCUAGGUCGGAUUAGCUAGUUGGUGGGGUAAAGGCCUACCAAGGCGACGAUCCGUAACUGGUCUGAGAGGAUGAUCAGUCACACUGGAACUGAGACACGGUCCAGACUCCUACGGGAGGCAGCAGUGGGGAAUAUUGGACAAUGGGCGAAAGCCUGAUCCAGCCAUGCCGCGUGUGUGAAGAAGGUCUUCGGAUUGUAAAGCACUUUAAGUUGGGAGGAAGGGCAGUAAGUUAAUACCUUGCUGUUUUGACGUUACCAACAGAAUAAGCACCGGCUAACUUCGUG